rnacentral:rRNA from 1 species
GGGGAAUCUUGCGCAAUGGGCGAAAGCCUGACGCAGCGACGCCGCGUGAGGGAAGAAGGCCUUCGGGUUGUAAACCUCUUUCAGGAGGGACGAAGCCACUCGGGUUAAUAGCCCAGAGGGUGACGGUACCUCCAGAAGAAGCCCCGGCUAACUACGUGCCAGCAGCCGCGGUAAUACGUAGGGGGCUAGCGUUGUCCGGAAUCAUUGGGCGUAAAGCGCGCGUAGGCGGCCCGGUAAGUCCGCGGUGAAAGUCAAAGGCUCAACCUUUGAAUGUCAGCGGAUACUGUCGGGCUAGAGUCCGGAAGAGGCGAGUGGAAUUCCUGGUGUAGCGGUGGAAUGCGCAGAUAUCAGGAGGAACACCAACGGCGAAGGCAGCUCGCUGGGACGGUACUGACGCUGAGGCGCGAAAGCGUGGGGAGCGAAC